GGUGUUCCAUCUUUGCAGGACAUCCUUUGUGUGGCCCAGCCGUGAGACGCUGCCUCACUGGGGAAGGUGUUUCUGCAUUAGAGAAAACAGACCAUCGAUGGCCAGCAAAUGAUGUUUCCUGUGGACACACUAGACUGCUGUUUGAACGCUGUACUGUAGAAGGCACAGACUGAGAUGCUGGAUCAACUGCGCAUGCCUGUCUUUGUGACCGGCUGCUAUCGAUCCUUCCGAGCCCGUGUGCCACGCUGGAAAGCUGCAUCUAAGAGUUAAGAUUUACUGGCUUAAAA
ensembl:lincRNA Gm44868 predicted gene 44868